AAUACCAAUAACCGAAAAUUACAAAACCAUGACAUCAUGUUCAUAUGGAAAUUCCUGUGUUCCAGUCUGUGUCCAUUGCCCAUUUCUCUGACAGUGGGCACCACCGAAAAAAGCAUGGCUCCAAACUCUUGACACCUUCUUGUUAAAUAUUUUUAAAUACUGAUAAAAUCCCCUCUCAGCCUUCUCUUCGCCAGACUGAAGUGUUCCAAGUGUCUCGGCCUUUCCUCAUAAGGGAGAUGCUCCAGGCCCCUCAUCAUCUUUGUGGCCCUCUGCCGGACUCUCUCUAAAAAAUCCCUGUCUUUAUCGAGCUGGAGAGCCCAGAACUGAACACACUGUUCAAAAUGAGGCCUGACCAGGGCAGAGGAGAGGAGAGGAUCACCCUUGUCAACCUGCUGGUCACGCUCCUUUUAAUGCACCUCAGGAUACCAUUGCCCUUCUCGGCCACAAGGGCACAGUGCUGGCUCAUGCGUACCCUGUUGUCCACUAGGACACCCAGGUCCUUCUCUGCAGAGCUCAUUUCCAGCAAAUCAGCCCCUAACCUGUACUGAUGUGUGCAGUUACUCUUCCCCGUGCAUAGGACUCUACACUUGCCAUUGUUGAACCUAAUCAGCUUUCUCUCUGUCCAACUCUCAGCCUGUUCUUGUCUCACUGAACAACAGCACAGUCUUCUGGUCUGUCAUACACUACCCCGGAAUGCUGAGGGCGGACUCUAUCCUUUCAUCCAGGACAUUGAUUAAGAUGUUGAAUAAGACUUGAUCCAGUACUAACCCCUGGGCAACAGUGCUUGUUACAAGCCUCCAGCUAGACCCUGUGUCACUGAUCACCACCCUCUGAGCUCUGCUAGUCAGGCAGUUCUCAAUCCACCUCACUGUCCACCCAUUUAUCACACACUUCCUAAGCUUACCUAUGAGGAUGUUGUAGGAAACAAUGUCAAAAGCCUUGCUGAAGUCAAGGCAGACAACUCAUCUACCCAGCCAUCAUGACAUAGAACGCUACCAGACUGAUUAAGUGUGAGCUCCCAUGGGUGAACCCACGUUGACUACUCCUGAUAACCUUCUUUUCUUCCACUUGCUUGGAGAUGAUAUCCAGGAUAAGCUGUUCCAUCACCAUCCCAGGGACAGAGGUGAGGCUGACUGGCUUGUAGUUUCCCAGGUCGUCCUUCUCACAAUUUUUGAAGACCGAAGUGACAAUGGCUUUCCUCCAGUCCUCAGUCAUCUCCCCUGUUCUCCACAGCCUCCCAUAGGUAAAUCCCAUUGGGUCCCAUGGAUUUGCGUAUGUCAAGUUUGCCUUGAUGAUUUCUGAUCAGAUCCUCAACUGAGAGGAAUUACUUCUUUCUGCAGAUUCUUUCUCCAGGGUCUGGGAUUCCUGAGAGCCAGUUUUAACAAUAAAGACCGAAGGAAAGAAGGCAUUCUGUAACUCCACCUACUCAGUGUCCUCUGUUACCAGGACACAUAUCUCCUUCAGCAGCAGCCCCAUGUUUUCACUAAUCUUAAUUUCAGGAAAAUUGACUUAACCCUAUCUACCUGCUCCAGCAGGGAAUCUCCCACCCACAGGACUCAGCAAGGAAUUUGGAGUGUAUUUUUUUACAGUAAAGAGCCUAGAUCAGCUCAAGCCUGAGGAGACUGGGCAGUUGCGUUUCUCUUGCCUGCAGAUAGAUCACUCAAUGCAGGCUCACUUCUCUUCAAGCCUCUGUGAGAAGCGGGAACAAUGCUUGGUUCAAAGCUUGUUCAGCAGCACCCAUCCAAGACAUGAGAAGCUGGAACAAUGCUUGGCUCAAAGCUUGUUCAGCAGCACCCAUCCAAGGCAUGACCUGCUCAACAAGCUUUUGAAGUUAAUGGUUGAUUACCAUGAGGACAGCAGUAAGAGGACAGACGUGCUGUUCCUCCUGAUGAACAAAAUGUGGGCACCCCGACACCUACCGUCACCAUGACGAACAGGGCACGAUGUCCCUGAUAAGUGGGGUAGGCAGGAGUGCUCCUGACAACCAGCUGCUGCCCCUGGAGAGGAUAAAAACCCAAAGAGUUCCAAGGAAGAAUGGGUACUCCCUCCGCCAAACUGCAGCCGUGCCGGUCAACAAGACAUCGCUGGCUGACCUGCUGCCUCCCCAUGGACCAACAAGACAUCGCUGGAUCCUGUGGUGAAACAUUCUAAGUUAUUACUACCGUGCAGCUUUGAUCUGGUGAACAAGACUUUGCACCAUACAAACCAUAUGCACCAGCAGUGCUCACUGAAGUCACAACAAAUUAAAUCUGUUUUGGACUAAGGAAUUGAUUUUCUACUUCCCGGGCUGCAGAGAAAGAUUCAUCACUUGAGAGAGCUGCAACAGCAGCAGUGAAGUCAAUAGCACGUGGCAGAGAAAGUGUACUGAUGUGAUGAUUUAGCAAGUUCAGAUGCUAAAAUGAAUUACUGGAAUCCAAAAGGGCUUGAAUGCAACUUGGACUUCAUGGCUGUGUGGGAACAUCAAAGAAUGGAAAGGAAUUCCUUGUUCGAGGAAGUGGAAUGUGCCUCUGAUCCCACUCCUGUCCGAGGCUGGAGCAGAGCAGUGGCAGACAUCCAUCUGCCGAUCCUUCCUGCAGGGGGCAGAGGGAGCACGGCGGGGCUGUCUCACCCUCCGUGGUCAUUCACAGAGCCUGAGUUUCCCGUCAGUGCUUGUGCAGCCACACCCAUACACGCAAAUACCAUCCAAACCGUAAAGGACUGCAAAUGAUCUCGUGGAUUGAAUGCUGCUUAUCCAAAUAUAGCCUGACCUCAUAUAGCUCUUGCUAUUUUCGUGGUCAUUCUUAGGAUAUGUGGUAACGAGCACUGCAAUAGUCAAAACAGAAAGGAAAAAAUAUUUUUUGCCUUUUGAUGAUUUUAGAUGAUGGCAGAGUCACUGGUUACAGUAACUACAAGGAUGGGGGAACUGCCACUGUUUUGUAUCUGUACCCUAACAGAAAUGGACUGACUGCUGUUGGCAAUCAGCAUGCUGAAAGUGCCGGAUACAAACAUACAGAGACACCAGAAAGCCCAUGCCCUGCCUGUAGUAGCAGGAGAUACACAGUCUGCCCUCCAGGCUUUCACAUUAGUAUCUCUGUAUUUUGUCAGAAAUUUUUAUAUAAUCUAAGGGAGGGAAAGUAGGUCAAACUGUGCUGGGGAGGAAAUACCUGUAAGCAAUACCAACCAAAAAGGUCUGACCCAGCUCUGUCUAGGAUUGUCAGAUUCAUUUUCUCUACUCCCUGGAAGCAAACUGUAAUCCAACAGGUUGCACUGCAGGAUGUCUGGGGGGUGCUCCCUAGGAAAACUGCUGACAUCCAGUUUAUCUGAAAUAUUACUAGUUUUCAUGUUGGUGGUAUCGUUCUCCAUAUAUAUAAAUGAUAUAGAACAGUAUUACAGGAAAAAGUCCAAAUGAAUGUGUCUUGUUUUUUUUUCCUCUGGUGUUGUUUUAGCACUAGUUAGAGAGAUGCUACCAUACUCUUUGUUAAGCAGUAAAUGACUCCUUAUUUUCUGUGUCACAUACAAUCUCACACAUAACAUAAGUUCUCUCUUAGUGUGCAGUUGUUCUUACAUGUGUACACCUACAAAAUAGAAACAGGUGCUGUGCUUUCAGCUGUGGAUGUUCCUUGUGGCACAAACAUGAAGAAGUCGGUCAAGUCAAAGAGCAAUCUGCCAGCACAUUUACUUGUAGAGUCCUACGAAAGCUGCAGUCUACAGCAGGAUGGUUACAGUCAAACACAUGCUAAAAUAAUAUAUAGAAUUGUGGUUGUAUUUACUAGACAUAGGCACUGAUUUCUGCAUGCAAGCUAAAUACCUCCACUGGCAAGAAGGAAAUGACUACUAAUCACGGUCACUUGGUAUUGCUUUCUCCAAAACAGGACAGUGAGCUGAUGGACAACUAGAGGGAGGCUUAAAGGUGGUUGAGACUGAGUUGUGCCUACAAGGUGGCAACAGUUAGGGUUCAGCAUGGGACAUGCACUGUUCAACAUAUUCACCAAAGCUCAGAAUGAAGGCAGUAAAGUGUGACAUCUGCAGAUGACAGCAAACUGGGGGAGCAGUCAAUACGUGCAAGAGCAAGGCUGAUACCAGAGGGACCAGUACAGGGAGAGUAGUUGGCUAACAAAGAUCUGACAGAACCAAGCAAGGACAAAAGACCAGAGUGAGGGCAGGGACUAUCCCCUCUGCUCAGUACCUGGCAGACCACAGCCAGGUACAGCUUUGAGCUCCCAUAUCAGGACAAACAUCAACUAACCAGAGCAAGCUCAGGAGGCACCACUGGGGCAGUGGGGCUGGAGUGCUCACCCUGGAAGAUGAGGCUGUCGGGCUAGCAAUGUUCCAGCCUCGAGUCGAGGGGCACCUAACAGCACCAGAGUGCCUACAAGGAGAGGACUGAGAGGUUAUGGCCAUGGUCUUCGUAGUAGUGCCUGGUAGGAGAAUGAAAUCCAGCAGCACUAGCUGAAGCUAGAGAUAGGUAAAAGCCUUUUCCCUCUGACCAGAAACAGCAGUGAAAUCAGGGCCCAAUCACUUCUCUGUCAUUGCCGCAAGUUGUUAUGCUAGCACAGUUUCAGGUGUUGUUCAGAGUACGGGAUUACUGCAAUUAGUAUACUGUGUGCUGAUGUCAGGUAUCAGUAACCAGCACAGGAUUAUGCACUAUUUAAUAAUGCAGCAGCUAUUAAUUAAUAACACUUCAGUAAGGAACCUAGGGCCACCUGGAUCAGCAUCCAAGAUGAAAGCUAAGCUAGCAGAAACUGCACUGUGAACAAGAUUUGGGUGGGAGUUGAAGGUUCAGCAUUCAAACAGAAGACUGAUCUUCAGCACAAGCCUUCAGUGCAGCAGCUUCAUCCUCCAGCACCAGAGAAAUAGAAACAGAAGAGGUAUUCAUGUCUUAAUAUUAUGCCUCAGUGAUCUGUCAUACAGUAAAAUGUUAUUUUGUUUGCCAGUUGUAAGGAUAGGCAAUAGCAGGUAUAACUGCUUUAAACAAGUUUCGGAUCACCCAGAAAAGACAGAGAUUGCAAUCUGACAACAAGGAAGUAAUUGCUUACCCCUUUCUGAGGAUCAGAGUUCACAAAGGAGCUCUCCAAGGAGGCAGUCUCCAGAUAGAGAUACUUCCUAUGUGGCUGCCAGCCCUUAAAUGAAGUUAGGGAGGGGUGGAGCCAGGAUCCACCCUUCCAAUGGCACAGGUGAUUUGCUUCCACCUGUGCUCCCAGGGCUGGCUACACCUCUUCACCAGGUGCUCAGUCACUGGUUCAGGCUAUAACUUAACCGGUCCCAUACUUCCGUAGACUGCAGAAACUCGUAUUAUAAUUGAGAACACGAAAGUGCAACACUAUGCACAAACAAAGCAAAAUUGAAACUUCAGGAUGGAAGGUGCGAAUGUCAGUGGGCUGAUAUGGUCUGUUAUCAUUAUAUACCUGAAACAUUCCUUUGGACUGCUUCUCAGCAUUAAGAUCUAGCUGGUUUUUCACCUUUUCAUGGAUAAGAUAGGAAUUCAUGUUUAACAUGGCAUUGUAGACAAUGUAGUCUACAACUGAGGCACUGCCAUUCUGAAAAUCUUGGCUUCAAAAGAAAAAUAGAUUGCAAAACUACAAUAUUGGAUAUCUGUUGCAUUUUUUUUAUGAACAAUGGAAAAAUUAAUUAAAUUGAACCACUGUUAUUUAUUCCAUAGUAAAUUGCCUCACAUUGAUCGGUUCAAAUAACUUCCUUUAACAAAAGCCAAAGCUGCACAGCAAAGCUGAGACAAACAGAAGAUAAAUACUUUACUGCAGAACAUAAAAAGGCCAGUGGCGGUGCUAGGAGGAUACCAGAACACACCAUGCCUACUGCUUUUCUGCAAGCCUAGAUACAUAUACAGGAACAGGCUUUGCAGGGAAGUUGUCAUGGCACCAAGCCACUCACUGUGACCUCAUUAGCUUUGUGCUCAUCUCAGCAUGCAGCAACUGCUGAUGCAUCGCUGCUGUUACUAGUGAUGUGGGAAGGAGGAAGAUAGUCUUGCACUGUAGUGAGUUUGGGUGUCUGAGUUUUUAGUUUGAUAGUAGGAACACCUGGUGGUUUAUAGCAACCAUUACAACUAUUUAAUGGAUAGCAGCUUGCUAGAGAACAGCUUGUAUUAGAAACACCAGUAUAAAGAGCAAGGGGAAGCUUUCUUCACAGACGGAUACUGCAUUUUAAUAUAAACAUACUUUCUGAGGUUAGAAAUUGAUAUUAUUUUCUUCUUUUACGCCAGACUUUCCUAUAAAGAAUCAGUUUCUUGCCCAAACAAUUGCUAGUAUUUCCUUCCUGUGCUGGGGAUGUUCUUCAGGGAACUUAAUCUGGUAGCUAGGCCAUCCUGGUCCCUGCUUUGAAGGAUAUGCCAACUGGGAAGCAAAUGCUGCCACAGAAAGUUUAUUCUAUAGACAAGGUAUAAAAUGCAGAAAAAAAAGAUUAGUUUCCAGGUGAGUGUUCGCAAAGAAGGAAGUGGGAAAAAAUGCGCUCUCUAUUUCAGUUUUGUCAUUAAAACUUUAACCUCAGAACCAAUGAGGAAAAAAUUAUUUAAAAAAUAGUGUAUGGAGAAACAUACAUUUCUUCACUUUAAAUAAUAUAUGCAUGUGUAUCUGCUGUGAUCCUGAGGACUGAUGUAAGCAGAGAAGAAGACAGGAGCAUAUUGCAAGAGUUCUUUGCUGUGAGAAUGAAGUGCAUGAGCUUUCUCUAGUAGAAUCAAAGAUGCUUGCAUAAAGAAACCAUGGCUGACUAUGUGAUAUUUUGAUGGUUUCUCUCCAAUGAUAAUCACAGAACUGUAGGGGUUGGAAGGAACCUCUAGAGAUCAUCAAGUCCAACCUCCAGUAAUAGCUUCUCACCCUCCCUCCUCAAAACAACAGAAGUAGAAGAUACAAUGAAAAAGGACUCAAAGGUAGAGAUGAGAACGGAAAGAUCCUGGACUUCAGCAAAACUUUCGACACUGUCUCCUACAGUACACUCCUGGAGAAGCUGGCAGCUCAUGGCUUGGACAGCUUUUCCUCUCCAGGAAAAGAAGAACACAUGGCUACUGAUUUCAAUUCUGGAUCUAGUUUGGAUUAUGCAAGAAUAUCUGUGCUUAUCCAAUGAGACUGAAAUUCUUCAAUGGACAAUGAAAUAUGACUGGUAUCGUGAAUUAUUGGACCUGGCAUUCAAAAAGCAGGAGUAACAGAAAGGAGACGGGAGGAAGAAAAUACCAAGUCACUUGAUAUCCUUUCCUUUCUGGCUAUGUCCCCAAAAUAAGAAACAUUACAAAUAAGUAAACCAAAACAUGUCCUGUUAAAA